AACGGGAGGUGCCGCGCAUGCGCAGUGCGGGCGGAGCAGCGGCGCCCCCUGUUGGAAGCGGGAAGCAGCGGGGCCUGGCUCUGAGCGGGGGGCGGAACCGGGAACGGAACCGGGAACGGGAUCGGAACCGGGAUCGGAACCGGGAUCGGAACCGGGCGGAGCCUCGGGCCGGUACCGCCAUGAUUCGCUUCAUCCUGAUCCAGAACCGGGCUGGCCCACCCCGCCCCCUGGCCAAGUGGUACUUGCAGUUCCAUCCCAGCCUCCCCGAGAAGCAGAAACUCAUCGAGGAGGUUCACGCCCCGGUCCACCGUGGCCAGUUCCCAAACACACCAUCCCUCCCAGGUAAAACCACCAAAAUCGGCGGGUUUUACCCCAAAAUCACCAUUUCCCCCCCCAUCAAAACUCCAGC
rnacentral:lncRNA from 1 species